rnacentral:rRNA from 1 species
CUGUCAGGAGGGAAGAACCGCCAGGAGUCUAAUAAACUCUUGGCCUGACGGUACCUCCAGAGGAAGCGCCGGCUAACUCCGUGC